GCCGACUUAGCUCAGUAGGUAGAGCAACUGACUUGUAAUCAGUAGGUCACCAGGUUCGAUUCCGGUAGUCGGCACCA
rnacentral:tRNA from 1 species